rnacentral:rRNA from 1 species
GUGUCAGCAGCCGCGGUAAUACGGAGGGUGCAAGCGUUAUCCGGAUUCACUGGGUUUAAAGGGUGCGUAGGUGGGUUGAUAAGUCAGUGGUGAAAUCCCCGAGCUUAACUUGGGAACUGCCAUUGAUACUAUUGAUCUUGAAUACCGUGGAGGUCAGCGGAAUAUGUCAUGUAGCGGUGAAAUGCUUAGAUAUGACAUAGAACACCAAUUGCGAAGGCAGCUGGCUACGCGAAUAUUGACACUGAUGCACGAAAGCGUGGGGAUCAAACAGGAUUAGAUACCCCCGUAGUCC